rnacentral:tRNA from 1 species
GCCUGGCUGGUUCAGUCAAUGGAGCAUGUGACUCUUGAUCUUGGGUUGUGGGUUUGAGCCCCACGCUGGGUG